rnacentral:rRNA from 1 species
UACGNCCGCAAGGUUGAAACUCAAAGGAAUUGACGGGGGCCCGCACAAGCGGNGGAGCAUGUGGUUUAAUUCGAAGCANCGCGAAGAACCUUANCAGGUCUUGACAUCCCUNUGNCCGCUNUAGAGAUAGAGUUUUCCUUCGGGACAGAGGUGACAGGUGGUGCANGGUUGUCGUCAGCUCGUGUCGUGAGAUGUUGGGUUAAGUCCCGCAACGAGCGCAACCCCUAUUGUUAGUUGCCAUCAUUGAGUUGGGCACUCUAGCGAGACUGCCGGUAAUAAACCGGAGGAAGGUGGGGAUGACGUCAAAUCAUCAUGCCCCUUAUGACCUGGGCUACACACGUGCUACAAUGGUUGGUACAACGAGUCGCAAGCCGGUGACGGCAAGCUAAUCUCUUAAAGCCAAUCUCAGUUCGGAUUGUAGGCUGCAACUCGCCUACAUGAAGUCGGAAUCGCUAGUAAUCGCGGAUCAGCACGCCGCGGUGAAUACGUUCCCGGGCCUUGUACACACCGCCCGUCGCACCACGAGAGUUUGUAACACCCGAAGUCGGUGAGGUAACC